CAGCCUUGCACCUGUUCCAGCCUCCAGAGCUCGAGCUUGCCGUGGCUCCUCUGCCUGUCUUCAGAUGGGAAGAGCUGGGCACUGGCCUCUACCAAUCCCUCCCCACUCAGCCAUCCGUCUGAGUCCAGUGCCAUGGGCCCUGGCAUUCAGCCAUGUGUCCAGGUUCAGUGCCACGGGUCCUGGCGUCAGCAGCUCCGGCUCUGCCAGAGGCCAGUGGAGGCACCCUGGUUCCCACGCCCUCCCUGCUCCUGCCAUGCGUCCGGUCACAGCAGGUGUCGGUGGACUUCGGGGAAGGCAGGUGCAGCCUCCUGCGUUGGCUCCAUCGCCUCUGGCCAAGGCCAUGGCACACACUCUGCCCGCGUUCCUCUGCACUCCCAGGAAGGCGAUGCCCCCGGCCCCAGCCUCGGAGAAGUGGACACGAAGCCCCACUUGCUUUGUGGCCGGUUCCAUUUUAAUUUGGUCUCAACGGAGUAGAAAAUGGGAGAGAGCCGGCGCGUGCUCCAGACAGAAAUCAGCCAACGAGCCCAUGAGACCCCAAGUCACUGAAUCCCCCCACACUCUGGCGUCUCUGAACAACCCGCAAGGACGUCGGUGCCACGGCUGCUCUGGGGUCUACAGUGCACGUCCCCGUGGACCCCCGGCUCCUGCAGGUGAAACCCACCACUCCACGGUGAUACAAGAACCUUCCCACGUCCCCAUGUCUCUCUGCAUGGCCUGGGCACCAUGGCUGCCACACUCUAUGCGUGUUUUAAAACCCACAGUGCAGGCCGGGCGCAGUGGCUCAUGCCUGUAAUCCCAGCACUUUGGGAGGCCGAGGCGGGCGGAUCACAAGGUCAGGAGAUCGAGACCAUCUUGGCUAACAUGGUGAAACCCCAUCUCUACUAGAAAUACAAAAAAUUAGCUGGUGUGGUGGCGGGCGCCUGUAGUCCCAGCUACUCGGGAGGCUGAGGCAGGAGAAUGGCGUGAACCCGGGAGGUGAAGCUUGCAGUGAGCCGAGAUCGCGCCACUGCACUCCAGCCUGGGGGACAGAGCAAGACUCCGCCCCGAAAAAAAAAAAACCCACAGUGCACUGUGAAUAUUUUGUUUAAACAGUCAAUUACCUUCGACGGAUACUUCAUCCAUUUGUCAAAUCUCAGGUAUCUAAUUCACCACGCCGUGGCUGUUCCGGGGGCUCCGCGUCUGUCGUCCCACAUCUGCGCUGCUCCUGCCGGGAGGACACGCCCGUGCCCCACAGCGGGUCCGCUCACCACUGCUCUUUCAGGCAUUACCUCCGGAGACACUCGUUCCACCUUUGUCUCUGAGAGAUGUUCUUGCUGACAGGUUUCUUCUUACGACGCUGCCCUUGCGUGGGUUCACUCGCGUUGCUCCUCAGGAGAAAUGAGAGCGUGUGUUUUCCUCCGGUGACCUGGAAAGGGACCUUCUGUGGCUGGCCGGGCACUCUGGCUUCCAUGGGCCUCUGUCCCAUUUCUUCGCCUUUCAUGUCCUUGAGGCUUGUUGAGCUUCUAUCAUCUGUGAGUUCACAGUUGGCGUCAGAUUUGGAAAUUUUGGAGUCAUGAUUUUUUCAUAUCUUUUCAGUGUCUCCAUGGUCGGCUCUUCUUCAGGGACCCCCAUACGUAUUACGGUUGUGCGUGGGGUACUCUUACACUCACGGGGGUGCCGGGCCCCUGGAACCUGCAACUCACGCAGGAUGCUCUUUUAACUUACUCUAUUAUGUUUCCUGUUUUAUACGGUGCUGUAUCGUUGGCUCUGUCUUUAAGAUCAUUCACCUUUUCCUCCAUGUGUGGUCUGUGAACCCCAUCCAUUGUAGCCUUGAUUUCUAGAAGUUUGGUUUGCAUAUUUUUAAAUGGUCUAUGUUUCUACUUAGCUCUUUCAACACAGGGAAUGCAGUCAGGAUGACUGUCAGUGUCUGUCUGGCGAUUCUAACACUUGUGUUAGUUCUGACCAGGAUUUCGCAGUGGAUUUUUCCUCCCCUUACGGGUGGGUUUUCCUGCUUCCCCGAAUGUAAUCUUUGAAUCGAUGGCAGACAUUGUUAACAUCGCCUUUGUUGGGUGUGGAUGUUUGUGUUUAUGUGGAAACAUUCCUGCACCUUUUUCUGGCGUGCGGUUCAGUUACAUGGAAAAGGUUUGGCCUCUCAGGUCUUAUUUUAAAGUGGCCGUCAGGGCCGAAUGUUCUGCCCAUUUUGUCCACACUAAUUAUCCCUCUUUGGGGAGCAAGACCCUUGUGAGAUGCCACCGCCACCCUCGGGAGGCCUCCAGGCUGGGGGACGGGCACUGUGGGCUGCUGGUGUAGGGCCGGACGCUCUCUGACAGUGUUGCCCCUGGCCUCCGGCGGCUUCCUCCCAAGCUGGGUUGGGGCUCUUCUGAACGCUCCCCUCCAUGCCCUGUCCUGGGAACUUUAACCCUCUGGGCCUCCCGGAGCCCUCUGUCUCCCCUGUCCCAGGGGGUCUGCUGGGCUCCACCGGGCCCCGCCCUGAAUGCAGCCUGGAGCAACGCUGGAGGCCGGGGCUAGGAAACUGUGAGCCCCGCCUUGUCUGUGUCUUUCUCAGGGAUUCUCGUCCUUUCCAACCUGGUGCCCGAUGUCCGGAAGCACCUCUUCUGUGUUUUCAAAUGGGAGAGCGAAUCCAGUCCUUUUCACUCCAUUUUGGCCAGAAACAGAAGUCCUCCGUGAUUUAUAUUUUUACUAGAAUCUUUUAAAGGGGCACAAAUGGGGGUGUUUUGCAGGCAUACAGAAGCCCCCGUCACUCCUCCCGCCUUGUCUCUGAACCGCUGUGGGGUGGGGAGGGGUCUCUUCUCUCUCCAACCCACAUCACUUUCACCCCCCGCCGGCCAAGGCUGCGUUUCCCUCGCCCCCACCCCAGUCCCCCGCGUUGGUAGUGGGAUCGGUUUGGUAUUCUGAGGCUUCUCUCAUUUCUCCUUUAUCACCAUCUGCCCCACAGCAGGCAGGCCCGGAGCCUCUGCAGAAGGGGGAACCGGGUGCAGGCCCAACGCCGGUCUCUCAGUGUGGCAGCCUUGCGCGCGAGCAGAAGCAGAAGGCCUAGUUCCUACUCUGCAGCCUUGGCUGCCGGGCACGGAGAACGUUUUAGCAGAAACACCUCUGCAAAACCACUUCCUGGCCCGGGCCCAGCCAAACACCAUCUUCUCCUCCACCCCAGGGCUCCGCCCCCAUCUCCAGGCUCAGCCCAGCACCCCCACCCCCGAAACCCCCAGCCCCACUGCAUCUGCCCUGGCCAUCUGCCUCCGCCCUGCCUCGCUAACACAGUUAUUAAUGAGCAAUUUUCCUGUAAUUACAACGCAGUUAUGCCAGUUACCCCGACCUGCUGACAGAGAGCAUUCACUUCCAUGUGGCACUAGCCCCCAGGCCUGAGAGGACGCAAACACUUGCCCCUCAUUCGCUGCCCCCACCCCCACUCUGCCAGCCAGCACCACCCUCCACCCACUCUAGGCCCUUAAGAAAGGAGGGAAGGGCCGCGGGGAGGAGCUCUCAGAUCCCGAGGCCCCACUCCCCCUGCAAGGAAGGCUGUGAGCUCGGCCCCAGCCCACCUGCCAGCUCCCCAAACACCUCCCACCUCCCUCCGCCGCCUCCUGAAGGGACUACACUCCCCUGGCUCCUCCAAAAUCCGCUAAUGAACAGCAGGCGCAGAGGCUCCGCCACCGGCGUGCUCCUGGCCUCAGCCCUCCCUGUUCUGAAACCGCCUUUGCUAAGACGGUAGUAGUGAGGAAUCACGACAGUGGCAGAGGCCAACCUGACCCGCUCCACCUGCCUCCACCCCAACCCGCCCGGCUGCUUCCUGAGCGUGGGCCAAACUAACUUUGACAGGAACUUAGUUUACAGUUUAAGUUGGGAACAAAAAGGAUAACAGCCCCUCCCCAAAACAGAUUCCCUCCUCGCUUGGGGGGACCAGUCCCGUUGUAAAACCGACAAAUAACAGCAGGAUUAGGAAUUCCGGCUCAGGAUUCACGCAGCCAGACGCCACAGGACUCCUCCCCAGCCGCUCCUGUAUAUGACGUCACCGCCGUAAGACCACAGGACACCGCCCCAGCCGCGCCUGUAGAUGACGUCACCAUCGUAAGACCACAGGACCCUUCCCAGCCGCUCCUGUAUAUGACGUCACCGCCGUAAGACCACAAGUCACCGCCCCAGCCGCUCCUGUAGAUGACGUCACCACAGUAAGACCACAGGAUACCGCCCCAGCCGCGCCUGUAGAUGACGUCACCAUCGUAGGCCCACAGGACCCUUCCCAGCCGCUCCUGUGGAUGACGUCACCGCCGUAGGACCUAAGAUUGAUGCUGGAGAGGUUCUUCAGACCCUGCGUUCUGACGGCUCCGCUGGCACCACCCAGACGGGUAAACUAGCUCUUCCGGUCUGUGGCCCUCACAGGAACCGACUCGGUGCAGGAGGACAGCUUCAGCCCCUGUGAUUUCAUCCCCGACCAACCAGCCAGCACUCCCCACUCCCUAGCCCCCUGCCUGCCAAACUAUCUUUUAAAAAACUCCAGUUUCCAAAUUUUCAGGGAGGCUGAUUUGAGUAAUAAUAAAACUCCAGUCUCCUGCUAGCUGGCUCUGGAUGCACUAGACUCUAUUGCAAUUCUCCUGUCCUGAUAAAUCGGCUGUCAGGCAAGAAGAACCCGUUGGGUGGUUACAGUUUCAAGGCUAUAUUCAGAGAACUAUCCACUAAUAAAAUCUCUGUUUAUGCAGUAGGUCCCACCCCACACCCUCCCUGCUCAAACUGCUGCAAUCCCGGCACAGCUUUGUUGACAAUGUACCCAUCAGCCAACAAAAUGUAACAAAAUGCACUUUCUUUUAGUUAUCUCCUGCUACGUAAUAAACUUCCCCGGGAGGUGGAGGUUGCCAUGAGCCGAGAUUGCACCAUUGCACUCCAGCCUGGGCAACAAGAGCAAGACUCCGUCUCAAAAAUAAAUAAAUAAAUAAAUAAAUAAGCCUCCCCGGA